rnacentral:lncRNA from 1 species
GAGCGGCUUAUUGCUUGCGUGCAGCUGUCGGGGGUGGGGGACGGGGGAAGCUGAACUGUUGCAAAGCCCCCGUACUGUCCCCCCAGGGAGAGCUUCCUGCCUCCGGCUCUCUAAAGCUUUCCCUGGAAGCAGCCUGGGCCCUGCCAGCUGGCUGGAUUCCGGGGGAGGGCGGCUCUGUGCAGCGAACGGUUGUAUCACCGCUGCUCUGGAGCGGGUGGCUGGAAGUGGGGGGCUUUCCCUCCGGCUGGUGAGUCCUGCCUCUGGGCGAGGGGGUGGGGGCACAGUGGGGUGUGACAGGGCCGCAGAAGGAUGGCUGGCCCGGGGGCCUGGGCCGUGGUGCUAGGUGGCUGCUCCAGAGAGGAACAGGCUUUGCUGCCGCUGGGAGCGGCUGCAAAAGCAGGAACUGAGAACGCUUCCGAGGCCCUGAGCUGGCCAGGCCGCAGUUCCCAGGCGGAGCCGUGGAGGGGGGGUGGGGCCUGGCUGUUAGGGGGACUGGCUGGCCAAGCCGAGCUUCGCCCGGCCAGGGUGUUCAGAGAGCAGGGGAGAGAACCCAGGCGUCCUGCCCAGGCAGGCAGCAGAACAGCGUGGGGCCCGGGUGCAGAGCGGCUCCCUUCUCCCUCUUCGUGGGAUCUCCGGGGACUCGGGAUCCAGGGAUCUGCUCCCAACGCUCCUGCAAGCUCAGCAGGUCUCCCGCAGCCGAGUGAGCCCAAAGGGCCGGCUGUGACCCCGCAGCGCUGCGCCCCGCUGGGUAGGUACCACGCUGGGCGAGGGGACCCCUGCAGUGCCAGCUGCUCUGUGUGUGGAUCGGGGGGACGGGGAGAGGCUGAUCCACAAACACCCGCUGUCCCCUUCCAGCUGGGAUCGCAGCCCGUUACUCGGGGGAGCCGCUGGGAGCGUGGGGCACGGAACCUCCAUGGCUAGUCUGUCGCCAGCUGGGGCAGCGUCCACCUAGGGAAGCCCCCUGCCCUGCCCCCCAGCCCCUCUAUCCUGAGCCCCUGCAGAGAUUGUCACAUAGGCAGGGACACAGCAGUCUCCUCCCCGCCCCCCGCCCAGGGCUGCGGCCAAGGGGCUGACGGGUGGCUGCUAGCUGCUGGCAGUGGGGGGCUGAGAUGGCAGGGCCGUGGGUGCAGGCGUGGAAGGGUGUUUGCCAGGAGUCAGGCGCGGGGGAGCCCAGUGCAGUUGGCUGGCGCACGAGGGAGCCUGUGCUCGUCCGAGGCCCUCGCCUUGUCCCUGAGCUGCUGCCCCUUCCACCUGCCUGGCUGGGAUCUGGCGGGAGGAGCCGCGAAGGGCACAGAGGG